AGAGUUUGAUCAUGGCUCAGGAUGAACGCUGGCGGCGUGCCUAACACAUGCAAGUCGAGCGAUCUUCUUCGGAAGAGAGCGGCGGACGGGUGAGUAACGCGUGGGUAACCUGCCCUGUACACACGGAUAACAUACCGAAAGGUAUGCUAAUACGAGAUAAUAUGCUUUUAUCGCAUGGUAGAAGUAUCAAAAGCUCCGGCGGUACAGGAUGGACCCGCGUCUGAUUAGCUAGUUGGUAAGGUAACGGCUUACCAAGGCGACGAUCAGUAGCCGACCUGAGAGGGUGAUCGGCCACAUUGGAACUGAGACACGGUCCAAACUCCUACGGGAGGCAGCAGUGGGGAAUAUUGCACAAUGGGCGAAAGCCUGAUGCAGCAACGCCGCGUGAGCGAUGAAGGCCUUCGGGUCGUAAAGCUCUGUCCUCAAGGAAGAUAAUGACGGUACUUGAGGAGGAAGCCCCGGCUAACUACGUG
rnacentral:rRNA from 1 species